GUAGGGAAUCUUCCGCAAUGGACGAAAGUCUGACGGAGCAACGCCGCGUGAGUGAUGAAGGCUUUCGGGUCGUAAAACUCUGUUGUUAGGGAAGAACAAGUACGAGAGUAACUGCUCGUACCUUGACGGUACCUAACCAGAAAGCCACGGCUAACUACGUGCCAGCAGCCGCGGUAAUACGUAGGUGGCAAGCGUUAUCCGGAAUUAUUGGGCGUAAAGCGCGCGCAGGCGGUUUCUUAAGUCUGAUGUGAAAGCCCACGGCUCAACCGUGGAGGGUCAUUGGAAACUGGGGAACUUGAGUGCAGAAGAGAAAAGCGGAAUUCCACGUGUAGCGGUGAAAUGCGUAGAGAUGUGGAGGAACACCAGUGGCGAAGGCGGCUUUUUGGUCUGUAACUGACGCUGAGGCGCGAAAGCGUGGGGAGCAAACAGGAUUAGAUACCCGAGUAGUCC
rnacentral:rRNA from 1 species